rnacentral:rRNA from 1 species
AUUGAACGCUGGCGGCAUGGCUUACACAUGCAAGUCGACCGGUAACGGGCCUUCGGGUGCCGACGAGUGGCGAACGGGUGAGUAGUGUAUCGGAACGUACCUUUCAGUGGGCGAUAACGUAGCGAAAGUUACGCUAAUACCGCAUAUUCUGUGCGCAGGAAAGCAGGGGACCUUCGGCCCUUGCGCUGAUUGAGCGGCCGAUAUCAGAUUGGCUAGUUGGUGAGGUAAAGGCUCACCAAGGCGACGAUCUGUAGCGGGUCUGCGAGGAUAAUCCGCCACACUGGAACUGAGACACGGUCCAGACUCCUACGGGAGGCAGCAGUGGGAAAUGUUGGACAAUGGGGGCAACCCUGAUCCAGCCAUGCCGCGUGAGUGAAGAAGGACUUCGGGUUGUAAAGCUCUUUCGGCCGGGAAGAAAUCGUAUCAGCUAAUACCUGGUGCGGAUGACGGUACCGGCAUAAGAAGCACCGGCUAACUACGUGCCAGCAGCCGCAGUAAUAC